rnacentral:rRNA from 1 species
AGAAUCAACGCUGGCGGCGUGCCUAACACAUGCAAGUCGAACGAGAAAGUGGGAGCAAUCCCAUUAGUAAAGUGGCGCACGGGUGAGUAACACGUGACUAACCUACCCUUGAGUGGGGGGAUAACCUAGGGAAACCUGGGCUAAUACCGCAUAAUACCUACGGGUCAAAGGAGCAAUUCGCUUUAGGAGGGGGUCGCGGCAGAUUAGUUAGUUGGCGGGGUAAUGGCCCACCAAGACAGUGAUCUGUAUCCGGCCUGAGAGGGCGCACGGACACACUGGAACUGAAACACGGUCCAGACUCCUACGGGAGGCAGCAGUGGGGAAUUUGCGCAAUGGGGGAAACCCUGACGCAGCAACGCCGCGUGGAGGAUGAAGCCCCUUGGGGCGUAAACCUCCUUUCGAUCGGGAAGAUAAUGACGGUACCGGAAGAAGAGCCCCGGCUAACUUCGUGCCAGCAGCCGC